CUAGAAGGCGGCCCCUGUUUCUCCUAAAAAUUAUGUCGUCUGCAACCAACAUAAUUUUUCUGGACCAAAACAGAAACUCCUUCAAUCACUCCCUCCGCUCCAGGAGGAGUUAGAACAAUCAAUCAGUGACUUUCGCGAUAAAUCACGCCUCUCGCGUCUUGCCUUCCUAAGGUUUGCCAACUUAGGUUUCCUAGAUCCCAACGACCUAAUUCUAAGCUCUGAUACCAACUUAAUCUAUCACGCCCCGGAUUUCACGUUCCCCGGGCCCGCCGAUAAAUCCGCCGUAUACAAAAAAAAUUUUUCUGUAUACGAAGCGAUAGCUGUACCUGUAAAACAUACAAUACUACCACCAGUAGUAUAGAGCUGCUAGAAGACAAAGAUAUCCAGGUAGAAAAAGACAGUUCACUAUACAUACAAUAUCCGAU
rnacentral:lncRNA from 1 species